GGGGACAUGGCUCUGAGGUUGAGUUAUCUGCUUGGCAUGCAGAAGUUCCUAGGUUCAAUCCCUGAUAUCUCUG
rnacentral:tRNA from 1 species